rnacentral:rRNA from 1 species
AUUGAACGCUGGCGGCAGGCUUAACACAUGCAAGUCGAACGAGUGGCGGACGGGUGAGUAAUGUCUGGGAAACUGCCUGAUGGAGGGGGAUAACUACUGGAAACGGUAGAUAACACCGCCUAGCUUCGGAUGUGCCCAUAUGGGCUUAGCUAGUAGGUGGGGGAAAGGCUCACCUAGGCGACGAUCCCUAGCGGGUCUGACAUGAUGACCAGCCACCCUGGAACUGAGACACGGUCCAGACUCCUACGGUAUGCAGCAGUGGGGAAUAUUGCACAAUGGGCGCAAGCCUGAUGCAGCCAUGCCGCGUGUAUGAAGAAGGCCUGCGGGUUGUAAAGUACUUUCAGCGAGGAGGCGUUACUCGCAGAAGAAGCACCGGCUAACUCCGUGCCAGCAGCCGCGGUAAUAC